rnacentral:lncRNA from 1 species
CCUUUGGACCGCCCACCCCUCGCCCCCGGCCCUGGAACUGGGCCUCUUCGCCUCUCCCACUUCGUAUCUGGUCCAUCCUCUCAGUCUGAUCACCUUGAUGUCCCUCACCUGACAGAUUACCCAGCCGCAGACUGCCCAGCUGAAAGAGACCAUGGAUUUUUUUUUUUUUAAAAAAAACGUUAUACAGGUGAGGACACAGCAAUCCUCCAGAGGAUGCAGCAACAAGACACCAUCUUGGAAGCAGAGCAGCCCUCACCAGACACCAAAUCGGCCAGCCCAUUGAUCUUAGACUUCCCAGCCUCCAGAACUAUGAAAAAUAAAUUUCUUUUGUUUAUAAAU